UAAUAGCGUAUAUUAAAGUUGUUGCAGUUAAAAAAGCUCGUAGUCGGAUGUCGGGCUCGGGCAAGCUGUCGGCCUUUGGUCGGACGGCAGGCUCGGGUCUUUCUGCCUGAGGAACCCGGUUGCUUUAACGAGCUGCCGGUGGACGCAGGUCGUUUACUUUGAAAAAAUUAGAGUGUUCAAAGCAGGCUAGCGCUUGAAUACAUUAGCAUGGAAUAAUGAAAUAGGACUUUGGUGCUAUUUUGUUGGUUUCGAACACCGAAGUAAUGAUUAAUAGGGAUAGUCAGGGGCACUCGUAUUCCGUCGAGAGAGGUGAAAUUCUCAGACCAAUGGAAGACGAACUACUGCGAAAGCAUUUGCCAGGGAUGUUUUCACUGAUCAAGAACGAAAGUUAGGGGAUCGAAGACGAUUAGAUACCAU
rnacentral:rRNA from 1 species